UAAAUCAUGUAACCAAUCAGCUUGGUUAACUGUUUUGCAUGUGGUGGCUAACACGACGAUCACACACAUAUAUAGUUUGGGGUGUGAAAUUAUUACAAUGGGAAACUACAUUAUGUAUUUUGAACAAGACUUAAGCAACUAAUAACUGUGCCAAAUGCUGACAAUUGUAUAAAACUAUUUGCUUAUAUCUACUAAAAAAUUUGGAUAUUUGUGUGAAACAAUGAAAAAUGAUGUUCUGCAAGUGCUGUGGUGUUGGGAUUACAUUUAUUGUUUUGCAGAAGUUAAUUGUCAUUUGAGUAAUACACCAAAGACGUCGAGAAACACUGUAAAAACAAAGUUGCCAACUCUCACGCAUCUGGCAUGACAGUCACACUUUUAGACUCUCACACUCACAAAAGAAAUCUAAAAUUAGCUACAUAAAAAAAUUAGCUACUUCAAAAGCAUUGCGUUAGUGUGCAAAACCUACAGACUAUUUACAGUACAAGGUAAUACAGUUUCUCUUAAUUGCUUAAAUGCAGUUCUCAAAACACUAACCUCAUUUCCGUAACAUAGCCUCAAAACUUCACAACCUUAACACCACAGCAAAUAGUAAAGCACAUUUUGCAAAUCAUUAAGUAUAUACAUCAUUGCUUUGGGCAGUGGUGUCCUAAUGGUUAGGGAAGCACACUUGUAAUUGAAAGAUUGCAGGUUCAAAUCCAUGGUCACUGAGGUACCCUAAGCAAAGUACUGCUCCCUGGGCGCUGAAUUAGCUGCCCCCUGCUAUGUCACAAUGUCACAUAUGGGUUAAAUGCAAAGGAUACAUUUUGUUGUUGUGUGGUGUGUCAACAGUAAUCAUUAAAUUAGACACAAUUCUCAAUUUACUCUGAUAAGUUAAUGAGAACAGAUUGUUCUUUUAACAUUUCGGAAUAUACAUUUUACAUUCAUAUCAAUACAAUAGAUCAUUGUAUAAAACAUUGCUAAAUACAAUGUACAAUGAGUAGUGUAUUCAUUUGGCAGUUCGUUCGAAGGUAUAUAAGAAUAAUGAGCACCCCCCCCCAUUCUACAUGUGCAAAUCAUGGUUAAUUGUUACUAAUUACAAACCUUUACAAGGUCUACCUCAGUGUUGCUGCAGGAAAACAAUGGAGUAAGUAUGAACUGUAAGAGGAAGAGGUGGAGACGUCAGAAUGUGUGGUGGAGGGGUGAGAGGAACACAGAGAAGAUCAGGAAGAGGCAGGGGGCGUCACAGGCAAGUAAACGUGUCAAAUGAGAUCAGGGUCACCAUUGUUGACCAUGUGAUAAACCAUGGGCUAAGCGUGGCUGAGGCUGGGCGAAGGGUCCAGCCGCAACUAAGCCGCACCUCAUGGACAUCCAUAAAAGGCGCGUUCAGAAAUGAAAACAGGUACAUAAACAAAAUCCUGCACAUUGCAUACAUAUUUUACUGUUUAUGUGCAAAUGGCAUCCUGUAACAGGUAUUUGUACUGUUGAAUUCAUGGAUUCAUGUUGGUGCCAUUUCAGGACUGUACCAUGUGGCAGAGACCCAUUAUUUUCACCAAUACAAGAGAUGGCAAUUGGUGACAUGGUGAGGGCCAACAAUACAAUUAUACUUUGCGACAUCCAGAGCACCAUUCUACAAGACAUCACCUCUGGGAACAUCACCUAUGUCAGUAUCCCUACCAUAGGGUGCUGAAGAGACUUGCUGGAGCAAUGAAACAGAGAUAGAGGGUGAAGGAGCAAAGGUUCCUGUAUGUACAGAGAGUGAUGAAGAUGGAAGCGAGUGACACUGCAUACACGUUUGUGUGUGUGGUUGAAGCAGGAUUCAACCUGAGUAAAGUCAGGCAACGUGGCAGAAACACAAUAGGCCAUCGAGCCAUAGUGUCAUGGAUACGGGCGGCUCGGACGCGAGGACGUGGCAUCGGGCACAAAAAGGGCGGACGACCCACUAGCGGCUCCAGGAACAGAAAGGGGUUUAUUAAAUAAAACAGAAAACACUACAAACACAACGAAACCAAAAGGACCACGAGGGUCAAAAACUAAAUAACAAAAACUGGGCAGGAGUCCAGGUGAGGGUUCAGGCCGUGUAGUGUCAGCUCGGGAUCAGCUCAGGAUCAGCUCGCGAUCAGCUUGGGAUCAACUCAGAAAAGAGAAGAUGGAGAAGAGUUAUUGCCCUACACCUAACCUCCAGCAGUACUGAAGUAACUAUGGCAGCCUGGCUAAAAGAGAGACCUGGAAGGAAGCACAGACAUGAGGGUUUCCAGGGGUUUUGGUGUCAAGCCAAACUACUGUCAACAGCUUAAGUGAUCGGUGAGAGUGGCAGGACCACAGCACCAAUCCCCCUUUUCACCUUUAAUCUCAAAUGACUAUGAACCUCCAGAUCUCCCAUUCAUCUUAGAAAGGGGGAUUUUACUAUCCAAAAGACUGGCUAAAGAGGUAAGUCUUAAGCCUUGACUUAAAAGCAGAGAUUGUUUCUGAGUUCCGAACACUGUUACUGUGCGGUGCUUUAGAGCAUAUGCUCUUCCCCCAAAAGUAACGUUCUUUAUUCUGGGUAUGAAUAGAAGACCUGCAUCGUGCACAAGUGUACAAGCCGGAAUGUAGUUGCAAAUGAAGUCACUCACAUACUGCGAUGCAAGACCAUUUACAGCUUUAUGAGUUAAGAGUAGUAUUUUGUACUCAAUACAAAAUCUAACUGGUAGCCAGUGAAGUGAAUAUAAAAUUGGGGUAAUAUGAUCAUAUUUUUUAGUUUUGGUGAGGACUCUGGCUGUUGCAUUCUGGACUAGCUGGAGUUUACUUAAUAACCUAUUUGGACUAGCUACAACUCUCUCUAUUAUUUUAGGGAUAAAUGGUAGAUUAGAGAUUGGUCUAUAGUUUUUCAUUUCCAAGGGAUCCAAGUUUGGCUUCUUCAAUAGAGGUUUAAUUACUGCUAGUUUAAGAGAUUUUCAUGAAUGGCCAAUGCUUAUUGAGGAGUUAACUAUUGCUAGUAGGGGUUCAAUCACUGCUGGGAUCAUCUCUUUGAAUAAUUAUGUUGGAACAGGGUCUAGCAUACUAGUAGAUGAAUUUGAAGAUAAGAUUAAGGACAUCAGUUCUGAUUGGUUAACCAUGGUAAAUGAUUCAAAUAGGGUGGUUGCAGCAUUGUGUCACGGCCAGAGAAUGUAGUUAUUGGAAUAGUCAAAAUGUUCUGUCUAAUUGAACAUAUUUUUUGGUCAAAAAAUUGCAUAAAGUCAUCACUGGAAAAUAACGCGGCCACACUUUGAGUAGCAGUCUGGUUAUUAGUCAGCUUGGACACCAUAUUAAAUAGGAAUCUAUGAUUAUUUUUGUUUAUUUCAAUUAGCUGAGAUAGAUACUCUGAUUUAGCGGCACUAAAAGCCUUUUUCUUGCUACCCAUAGCCUCUUUCCAUGCUAGUUCGAACACCACUAAUUUAUUUUGACACCUCUUACGUUCUAAUUUCCGUGCCUCCUGUUUUAAAGUACGCAAGUGGUAAUUAUAGCAAGGAGCAUUUUUAUUUCUUUUUUAAUUUUUAAUGGAGCAAUUUUAUCUAAGGUAGAACUAAGCGUAGACGGUAAACAAUCCGUAGUGCUAUCAAGUUCAGCGGGAUUCGACAUUACUUUUGACCAAAAACAAUAGCUCAGGGAGAUUAUCAGUAAAGUUACUUGCUGUAUUUGACGUGAUUGCACGUUUGCCGCAGAAGUCGAGGAGUUAAUAUUUUGAGCAAGGUAAAUAUUAAACGUAAUUGGAUGAUGGUCAGAGAUAAUACUGGUCUGAGGCAAUAGAGUUACAUUAUCAAGACCAAACAAUAGGAUUAAA